CCUACGGGAGGCAGCAGUGGGGAAUAUUGCACAAUGGGGGAAACCCUGAUGCAGCGACGCCGCGUGAGUGAAGAAGUAUUUCGGUACGUAAAGCCCUAUCAGCAGGGAAGAAAAUGACGGUACCUGACUAAGAAGCCCCGGCUAACUACGUGCCAGCAGCCGCGGUAAUACGUAGGGGGCAAGCGUUACCCGGAUUUACUGGGUGUAAAGGGAGCGUAGGCGGCAGCGCAAGUCAGGAGUGAAAUCCCAUGGCUUAACCAUGGAACUGCUUUGGAAACUGUGCAGCUAGAGUGCAGGAGAGGUAGGCGGAAUUCCUGGUGUAGCGGUGAAAUGCGUAGAGAUUAGGAGGAACAC
rnacentral:rRNA from 1 species